rnacentral:rRNA from 1 species
UACCAGCACCCCGAGUGGUCGGGACGAUUAUUGGGCCUAAAGCAUCCGUAGCCGGUCCUGCAAGUCUUCCGUUAAAUCCAACUGCUUAACAGGUGGGCUGCGGAAGAUACUAUAGAGCUAGGAGGCGGGAGAGGCAAGCGGUACUCGAUGGGUAGGGGUAAAAUCCGUUGAUCCAUUGAAGACCACCAGUGGCGAAGGCGGCUUGCCAGAACGCGCUCGACGGUGAGGGAUGAAAGCUGGGGGA